GGGGGGGAAGUUGUCCAGUCUCAACAGGGAGCCUCAGGGUGCAGAUGUGGACGGAUGGAGAUCCCCGAGGACCAGCUCCUGCUGAUAGUGCCAAUUUUUAGCUUCAAAUGCUGGAAGAAUUUGCCUGGGAGUCAGCAAAUACCUCCUUCCAGUUUUAUGGCUGAAAAGUAGAAGUUGCUCAAAUUUCUGAAGUUUUUCAUUUAAAAAAUUUUUUUUUCGAAGUUAUUUUGUGGCCAUGCCCAGGGCAUGUGUCAGUUGCCAGGCCAGAGAUCCAACCGCGCCACAGCAUCAACCUGAGCCAGAUCCAGUGAUAACGCCAGAUCCUUAACCCACUGCGCCACCAGGGAACUCCUGGCAUUUUUCAGAAAAAGAAGAUUUUCCUUUCUCACCUGUGCCAUCUGCUUCUUCCUCUCGCAUCAUCUCUUCCUCUAGUCCUGAGAUUCUGGGGAGCGGACUGGCAGAUGUCUCCCUCGUAGGGGGCAUUUCCCCAUCGACUGUACCCCAGUACCAGGAGUGCUCUAGAGGACAAACAGCAUCCAGAGCUUAAAACCCCUCCUCCAGUGGCCCUCAGCCGGGCAUCGCUAAGAACCAUGGGCCCUGCCAGCUGCCUCAUUAACGUCUCACCGCACACGGGGGUCCAAGGGUCUUUUUUAGACUAGUAACCUCUGCUUAGCUCAGGGCAGAUGCCUGGCCAGCUUGCCAGCGAAGAUUCUCCCAGCAAUGAGACUGCCAGUCAGUUUCUGUACAUGAGACAGGUUAGAGGGAUAUGAAUAUUCAGGAGCUGAAAGAGAGCCAUCUUCUCCCAUCUGCACUGAUGCACGGGACUUGACAGCCAUAAACAAUCAAGCCCCGAGAGGAGACGAGCCAGACAGAGAGGGAGGAAGUGACAGCCUGGGUGGUUCCUGACUCCUCCCCCUCGCCCCCAUACCCUUAUGCUUCCCUGUGUCUGGGUUCCACGAGACACCCCUGUGUGCAUAGAAUUAAUGCCCACUCUUCAUUUAACCUGGCUGAAGUUGAGUUUUCUUUUUUUUUUUUUAAUUUUUUAUUAUAGUGGAUUUACAAUGUUCUGUCAAUUUCCACUGUACAACAAAGUGACCCAGGUAUAAAUAUAAAUACAUUCUUUUUCUCAUAGGAUCUUCUAUCAUGUUCUUUCACAAGUGAUUCAAUAUAGGUCCCGGUGCUACACAGCAGGACCUCAUUGCUUAUCCAUUUAAAUGUAAGCGUUUGCAUCUACUAACCCCAAACUUCCUGCCCAUCCCACUCCCACCCCCUCCCCCUUGGCAACCACAGGUCUGUUCUCUAUGUCCUUGAGUUUGUUCCUGCUCUGCAGAUAGGUUCGUUUGGGCCAUACUUUAGAUUCCACAUAUAAGGUUGAUUUCUGAUAUGUGCAACUAUAGGGGACCUUGGAGUUGCUCCUUUACACGCAUUUUCUGUUUCUGGGCAACUAUCUCAGUUUUCUCUCUGUUAUCCACAUUGCUUCAGGGCCACAUCUGCGCUUUAAGGGGAUAUGAUUUCGGAACAACACGUAUGACUCGGGUUUAGGUUAUAUGCUCAGGGGUGGACCCAAUGGCCAUUGAGACCAAGAAGACAUGAGGAGCGGUCUUCUAGAGGCUUCCAUAAUGACCCCCUUACUCGCUUCUGUGAUCCUAGUGAAGACGUGGGCAGACGGGGGUUCUGCUGGCAACCGUGUUAUAACCACAAAGAGGACACCACAGAAGGCUAAAGGGAAAGGUGGAAAGGAAGCCUUGUUUCAGAAGACGACGUUGGGCUGCCAAAUCGAACCAUCCCCAAAGUCCUGCCUCCCUCAGACAACCCAUUGACAUGAUCCAAUAAAUCGCUUUAACGAAACAUCUUCACUAGAAUUCCCGAGACACUGCUCCAGUGUGCGUGCUGCCCCUGCAAUACUCCCAAACUACCUCAGUCUAUUCUGGGAGAAUAAAAAGGAAAACAGGAAAAGACGGCUUAACUGGAAAAUCCGAGGCUUCCAAGAUAUUAGCCCUCCUCUGCCACUAAUUACCAGUAGGAGCUGAGGCAAGCUCUCCCAACACCAGCACAGAACACUGCAUUUGCAUGAAAACUCUCACCAUGAGGGAAGAAACCCAGGGUUAGAAUUCUAGUAUGGAGAGGCAGGGAGAGGAAAUGAGAGAGUGUAAUUGAAGAGUCUUCUGGUGGAGCCCUGUUCACAAAGGCCAGUGCUUGGAGCAUUUGUAAGUUAUAAUAACCGAGGAAUCCGUGGCCUGUUAGCCCUGCAGGUCACACCCAGCCAGGGGACACCCUUCACUUCACCUGUGUAGUUCUGGGUGACUCCAACAAAGGAAAGAGCAGCUCGGUAAGAAAGGCUCUGUGAAAAAGAUCUCAGGGUGUAAUAUUUAAUUUAGGCUUUGAAUUAGCUGGAGAACACAUCGAAACAAAGUGCGUCUUGGUUCCUGAUAUUAUUUUUCAAGACUUUUUUGGUCGGAGAUGGUUUGGUUUCUCCCUUUCAAGGCACGGUUACUGCUAAGAAAAUAAAACCUGCCCCAACCCCGAAACUCAGACCUGAUACUCCAGGUUCUCUCAUUGGAAAGAAUAACAAAAACAAAACCAGUAUAACUGAACUACACCGCAAAGGGCACACACAAGACUAUGUGUGUGCACGUACACACACUCACACAAAUUCUUAAAGGAUCUUGGACCCCAUCGUGCAGGAAUCAAGUUGGGACCAGACCUGCCACGUGGAUUUACUUUCACGGGACGUUUCCACAUAUUCAACUUUAGAGCAGACUUCGGUACCAUAUUUUUCAAGAAAUCUCUUCUCCCCACAACUUUAAAUAUAGCUGAGCAAAAGUCAAGCAUGAUCUCCAAAGAACAAAGCAGGAAAAGUUCAGAGAUCAUCAUUUGGUAGCGUACCAAGGAGAUAUCAGAUGACAGGAUCGGUAGAUGAGGCCAAUUUUCAGACUGAUGUCUACCCACACUAGGGAAAAUACUAGUGGAGGAAAAUAUAAUUCUGAAGAUCAGAAGAAGUAGUAUGGUGUGCAUUUUCCCAAAUGCCUUUAGAUUAGCUUAAACAAACAAACAAACAAAAAAGAUGGCUAAUUUGGUUGGCCAAAAAUGUAUUUCGAACAAAAAUAUUUCAUGAUUUUCUCAACUCACAGACUCCAACUUUGAGAACUCGAAGAAACCAGAGUGAUUCCCUAGUCCAGUCUCCUCCUUGGUAAUUGGCACAUCUCUGCUUAGCUAUGUCGAAAACUAGUUUGAAAUGUGAUUAAGCCUAUUAAAAGCACAAUAUUCAAUAGCAUAUGAUUUGUUUCCAGGAAGCUCAACAAUAGGCAAAACGAAUCUAUGGUGAUAGACAUCAGAAUAUUGGUUCCUUCUGGGAAAGAGGAAUAGAAUAGAAGAGGGGACUCUGGCCACGUUCUUUCUCUUGAUCUGAGUGGUGGUUGCUUAGGACAUGAACAAGCAAGCUGUGUGUUUAUCAUUUGUCCGUUUUUAUAUGAUUGUUCUACAUUAACCUAGGAGAAAUUUAUUCCCCCCCCCCAAAAGAGCCUGGGUAACCAAAUCUAAGUGAAAAAAAAAAAAAGAUGUCAGUUUAUUUUUGAGCCAACAUUUAAUUUAGAAACCCAUUAGCUUUUUACUCACCUUUAUAAUUGAUGGUCAAAUUCAAUUUUAAUGUACAGGUCUGUGAGGGGGACGAGGGCAUGAAGUCAGACCCCCAUUUUCAAGAUACAGAAGUUCCCUCCAGCCCAAAGAUCUUCCCCAGCUGGCCCUUUGCAGGGACCCCCUCCCCCGACAUUCAACCCCUGGCAACCACGAAUCUCUUCCUAUAAUUUUGCAUUUUCCAGCAUGUCCUAUAAUUAGAACCACACAAAAUGUAGUCUUUUGAGUCUGGCUUCUUUCACUUAACAAAAGGCCCUUGACAUUCUUCCAUGUUGUUACAUGAACCAGUAAUUUGCUUCCUAUUAUUCCAUUCUGAAUAGUAUUCCAGUAUUUGGAUGUACCACGGUUUGUUUAUCCAUUCACCAGUCAAAGGACUCGGAUUAUUUCCAGUAUGGGGCAUUCAUGUCCAAGUUUUUGUGUGAACAAAAGUUUCCAGUUCCCUUGGGUAGAUACCUAAGAGUGGGAUUGCUGGAUUAUAGGGUAGGUAUACGUUUAACUUUAUUUUAAAAAGUCAGAUUUUUUUUUCCAAAGUGUCCGUAUCAUUAGCAUCCCACCAGCAACGAAUGAAAAUUCCAAUUGCUCUGCAUCCUUAUAAGCAUUUAAUAUUAUCGUUUUUUCACCCCACCAUUCUAAUUGAUGAAAAGGUCAUAUUCACAGAAAAUAGUUGCCUAAGAUUCUGCUAACAGGACACAUAGUAAGUUUCCAAUUUAGGCAGAGACAGUAUACAAUAAUAUAAUUCCGCAGGCCAACUGAAGGAAUCUACUCCUUAAAAAUAAUGAACGAGGCGUUCCCAUGGUGGUACAGCAGUAAUGAACCCAACUAGUAUCCAUGAGGAUGCGGGUUCAAUCCCUGGCUUUGCUCAGUGGGUUAAGGAUCCGAUGUUGCCAUGAGCUGUGGCGUAGGUUGCAGACGUGGCUCGGAUACCACGUUGCUGUGGCUCUGGCGUAAACUGGCUGCUGCAGCUCCAAUUCGACCCCUAGCUUGGGAACGUCCAUAUGCCACAGGUUCAACCCUAAAAAGACAAAAAAAAAUUUUAAAUAAUGAACUAUCUUUUCAACCUGAAUUUCUAUAAUAUUUAAUAUUGAGUAUCUCAUAUUCAUUGGCCAUUUGUACAUCUUUCAUGUGAAUUGCCUGUUUAGACAAUUUACUCAUGU
rnacentral:lncRNA from 1 species